GACGAACGCUGGCGGCGUGCUUAACACAUGCAAGUCGAGCGGUAAGGCCCUUUCGGGGGUACACGAGCGGCGAACGGGUGAGUAACACGUGGGUGACCUGCCCUUAGCUCUGGGAUAAGCCUGGGAAACUGGGUCUAAUACCGGAUAUGACUCCAUGACGCAUGUUGUGGGGUGGAAAGCCUUGUGCGGCUAGGGAUGGGCCCGCGGCCUAUCAGCUUGUUGGUGGGGUGAUGGCCUACCAAGGCGACGACGGGUAGCCGGCCUGAGAGGGCGACCGGCCACACUGGGACUGAGACACGGCCCAGACUCCUACGGGAGGCAGCAGGU
rnacentral:rRNA from 1 species